GCCCGCUUAGCUCAGUGGUAGAGCGCGCCACUCGUAGGUCGCCGUCACGUGACCAGGUUAUGGUGAGGUCGGUUGUUCAAACCAGCCAGCGGGCA
rnacentral:tRNA from 1 species